GACGAACGCUGGCGGCGUGCUUAACACAUGCCAGUCGAACGGAAAGGCCCUGCUUUUGUGGGGUGCUCGAGUGGCGAACGGGUGAGUAACACGUGAGUAACCUGCCCUUGACUUUGGGAUAACUUCAGGAAACUGGGGCUAAUACCGGAUAGGAGCUCCUGCUGCAUGGUGGGGGUUGGAAAGUUUCGGCGGUUGGGGAUGGACUCGCGGCUUAUCAGCUUGUUGGUGGGGUAGUGGCUUACCAAGGCUUUGACGGGUAGCCGGCCUGAGAGGGUGACCGGCAACAUUGGGACUGAGAUACGGCCCAGACGCCUACGGGAGGCAGCAGUGGGGAAUAGUGCACAAUGGGCGGAAGCCUGAUGCAGCAACGCCGCGUGCGGGAUGACGGCCUUCGGGUUGUAAACCGCUUUCGCCUGUGACGAAGCGUGAGUGACGGUAAUGGGUAAAGAAGCACCGGCUAACUACGUG
rnacentral:rRNA from 1 species